UUGAACGCUGGCGGCAGGCCUAACACAUGCAAGUCGAGCGGAUGAAGGGAGCUUGCUCCUGGAUUCAGCGGCGGACGGGUGAGUAAUGCCUAGGAAUCUGCCUGGUAGUGGGGGAUAACGUCCGGAAACGGGCGCUAAUACCGCAUACGUCCUGAGGGAGAAAGUGGGGGAUCUUCGGACCUCACGCUAUCAGAUGAGCCUAGGUCGGAUUAGCUAGUUGGUGGGGUAAAGGCCUACCAAGGCGACGAUCCGUAACUGGUCUGAGAGGAUGAUCAGUCACACUGGAACUGAGACACGGUCCAGACUCCUACGGGAGGCAGCAGUUGGGAAUAUUGGACAAUGGGCGAAAGCCUGAUCCAGCCAUGCCGCGUGUGUGAAGAAGGUCUUCGGAUUGUAAAGCACUUUAAGUUGGGAGGAAGGGCAGUAAGUUAAUACCUUGCUGUUUUGACGUUACCAACAGAAUAAGCACCGGCUAACUUCGUG
rnacentral:rRNA from 1 species